rnacentral:rRNA from 1 species
CACAGACAGCCAGGAGGUUGGCUUAGAAGCAGCCAUUCCUUAAAAGAGUGCGUAAUAGCUCACUGGUCGAGCAUACAGGCGCAGAUAAUGUAACGGGGCUAAGCGGUAUACCGAAGUUUUGGAUCUAACACGUUUUGUGUUAGGUGGUAGGGGAGCAUUCCAUGAGCUGAUGAAGCAAUAUCCGUGAGGGGUUGUGGAGGUAGUGGAAGAGAGAAUGCAGGCAUAAGUAACGCAAAGACGGGUGAGAUUCCCGUCCGCCGAAAACCUAAGGAUUCCCGGGUAAAGGCAAUCUGCCCGGGGUAAGUCGGCCCCUAAGGCGAGGACGAAAGUCGUAGUCGAUGGGAAAUCGGUUCAAAAUCCGAUACCUCUAUCAGUUUCGAGGGCAAGACGCAUGAGGUGAAACCCGGCCGGAGAAUGGUAGUUCCGGUCGAAGCAACGAGCUUUUGAGAGCGACAGGCAAAUCCGUCGUUUGAGGUAAGUUGUGACAGCCAACGGAGAGAAAGUCGAAGUGAAGCGGGUGUAAUCAAGGUGCCGGGAAAUAUUGUCUAAGGCUAGGCUGAUAAAGACCGUACCGUAAACCGACACAGGUAGGAAGGAUGAGAAAUCUAAGGCGCACGAGAGAACUCGCGUUAAGGAACUCGGCAAAAUGCACACGUAACUUCGGAAGAAGUGUGGCCCGAUUCGGUAAAAGAAGAGGGUGGCACAGAGCAGGCCCAGGCGACUGUUUAUCAAAAACACAGCCAUCUGCUAAUCAGCAAUGAAACGUAUAGGUGGUGACACCUGCCCGGUGCCGGAAGGUUAAGAGGAGAUGUGAGGGGAGCCCCAAAGCAUUGAAUUGAAGCCCCGGUAAACGGCGGCCGUAACUAUAACGGUCCUAAGGUAGCGAAAUUCCUUGUCGGGUAAGUUCCGACCCGCACGAAUGGUGUAACGAUUCUGGGCACUGUCUCAACGCGAGACUCGGUGAAAUUUAUAUACCGGUAAAGAAGCCGGUUACCCACAGUUAGACGGAAAGACCCCGUGAACCUUCACCGUAACUUACUAUUGGGAUUUUAUUUAUCAUGUGUAGAAUAGGUGGGAGACUGAGAGGCGUGGUCGUUAGGCUGCGCGGAGUCGCAAAGUGAAAUACCACUCUUGAUGAAUGAAAUUUCUAACCUGUGCCGUGAAGCCGGUAUAGGGACAAUGGUAGGCAGGCGGUUUGACUGGGGCGGUCGCCUCCUAAAGAGUAACGGAGGUGCGCGAAGGUCUCCUCACUCUGGUUGGAAAUCAGAGCGCGAGUGUAAAGGCACAAGGAGGCUUGACUGCGAGAGUGACAGCUCGAGCAGGUACGAAAGUAGGUCUUAGUGAUCUGGCGGUAGCGAGUGGAAGCGCCGUCACUUAACGGAUAAAAGGUACUCCGGGGAUAACAGGCUGAUCUUCCCCAAGAGUUCACAUCGACGGGAAGGUUUGGCACCUCGAUGUCGGCUCAUCGCAUCCUGGGGCUGGAGCAGGUCCCAAGGGUUUGGCUGUUCGCCAAUUAAAGCGGUACGUGAGCUGGGUUCAGAACGUCGCGAGACAGUUCGGUCCCUAUCUGCUAUGGGCGUUGGAUAUGUGAGAGGAGCUGCUUUUAGUACGAGAGGACCGAAGUGGACGAACCUCUGGUGUACCAGUUAUCCUGCCAAGGGUAAGUGCUGGGUAGCUAUCGUUCGGAAGGGAUAACCGCUGAAGGCAUCUAAGCGGGAAGCCCACCUCAAGAUUACAUAUCCCUCGGGGUUUAACCCCGCUAAAGACUCCUUGCACACUACAAGGUUGAUAGGUUGCAGGUCUAAGCACAGUAAUGUGUUCUAGCCGAGCAAUACUAAUAAGUCGUGAGGCUUGACC